UACGUAGGGUGCGAGCGUUGUCCGGAAUUAUUGGGCGUAAAGGGCUCGUAGGCGGUUUGUCGCGUCGGGAGUGAAAUCCACUGGCUUAACUGGUGGCUUGCUUUCGAUACGGGCAGACUGGAGGUAUGCAGGGGAGAACGGAAUUCCUGGUGUAGCGGUGAAAUGCGCAGAUAUCAGGAGGAACACCGGUGGCGAAGGCGGGUCUCUGGGCAGCAACGUGACGCUGAGGAGCGAAAGCGUGGGGAGCGAACAGG
rnacentral:rRNA from 1 species